rnacentral:rRNA from 1 species
GACGAACGCUGGCGGCGUGCCUAAUACAUGCAAGUCGAACGCAGUGGGGACGGGUGAGUAACACGUGGGUAACCUCCCAUCAGAGGGGAUAACACUUGGAAACAGGUGCUAAACCGAUACUGAUGGAUGGACCCGCGGUGCAUUAGCUAGUUGGUGAGGUAACGGCUCACCAAGGCCACGAGGCAUAGACGACCUGAGUGGGUGAUCUGCCGCACUGGGACGGAGACAAGGGCCAGACUCCUACGGGAGGAAGCCAUAGGGCAUCUUCGGCAAUGGACGAAAGUCUGACCGAUCAACGCCGCGUGUGUGAAGAAGGUUUUCGGAUCGUAAAACUCUGGUGUUAGAGAAGCGGUAGCUAACCAGAAAGCCACGGCUAACGACGUGCCAGCAGCCGCGGUAAUAC